rnacentral:rRNA from 1 species
GUUAUAUGGUCAAGCGAAUAAGCGCACACGGUGGAUGCCUUGGCGGUCAGAGGCGAUGAAGGACGUGGCAGCCUGCGAAAAGUAUCGGGGAGCUGGCAACAAGCUUUGAUCCGGUAAUGUCCGAAUGGGGAAACCCACCCGCUUGCGGGUAUCCUGCAGUGAAUACAUAGCUGCUGGAAGCGAACCUGGUGAACUGAAAUAUCUAAGUAACCAGAGGAAAAGAAAUCAACCGAGAUUCCGUAAGUAGCGACGAGCGAACGCGGACUAGCCCUUAAGCUGGAUUGGUUCUAGGAAAACGCUCUGGAAAGAGCGGCCAUAGAAGGUGAUAGCCCUGUAUCUGAAAGGGCCAUUCCAGUGAAGACGAGUAGGGCGGGGCACGUGAAACCCUGUCUGAACAUGGGGGACCAUCCUCCAAGGCUAAAUACUACUGACCGACCGAUAGUGAACCAGUACCGUGAGGGAAAGGCGAAAAGAACCCCGGAGAGGGGAGUGAAAUAGAACCUGAAACCGUGUGCGUACAAGCAGUAGGAGCUCCGCAAGGAGUGACUGCGUACCUUUUGUAUAAUGGGUCAGCGACUUACUGUUCGUGGCAAGCUUAACCGUAUAGGGGAGGCGAAGGGAAACCGAGUCUGAUAAGGGCGCAUAGUCGCGGGCAGUAGACCCGAAACCGGGUGAUCUAGUCAUGCCCAGGGUGAAGGUGCGGUAACACGCACUGGAGGCCCGAACCCACUCCCGUUGCAAAGGUAGGGGAUGAGGUGUGAUUAGGAGUGAAAAGCUAAUCGAACCCGGAGAUAGCUGGUUCUCCUCGAAAGCUAUUUAGGUAGCGCCUCAUAUGUAUCCUCUCGGGGUAGAGCACUGUUAUGGCUAGGGGGUCAUCGCGACUUACCAAACCAUUGCAAACUCCGAAUACCGAGACGGACUGUAUGGGAGACACACGGCGGGUGCUAACGUCCGUCGUGAAAAGGGAAACAACCCAGACCCACAGCUAAGGUCCCAAAUUUUGUGCUAAGUGGAAAACCAUGUGGAAAGGCACAGACAGCCAGGAGGUUGGCUUAGAAGCAGCCACCCUUUAAAGAAAGCGUAAUAGCUCACUGGUCGAGUCGGUCUGCGGGGAAGAUUUAACGGGGCUAAGCACAGAACCGAAGCUUGGGGUGCAUAACUUUGUUAUGCGCGGUAGAGGAGCGUUCCGUAAGCCGUUGAAGGUGGAUUGAGAAGUCUGCUGGAGGUAUCGGAAGUGCGAAUGCUGACAUGAGUAACGAUAAUGCGGGUGAAAAACCCGCACGCCGAAAGCCCAAGGUUUCCUUGCGCAACGUUAAUCGGCGCAGGGUGAGUCGGCCCCUAAGGCGAGGACGAAAGUCGUAGUCGAUGGGAAGCAGGUUAAUAUUCCUGCACCUCGCGUAAGUGCGAUGGAGGGACGGAGAAGGUUAGGUGUACCAGGCGUUGGUUGUCCUGGGGAAAGGCGGUAGGUUUGGAUCUUUGGCAAAUCCGGGAUCCUUUAAGACCGAGCACCGAGACGAGCCUUUAUGGCGAAGUCACUGAUACCACGCUUCCAGGAAAAGCUCCUAAGCUUCAGCUUACGCAGACCGUACCGUAAACCGACACAGGUGGGUAGGAUGAGAAUUCUCAGGCGCUUGAGAGAACUCGGGUGAAGGAACUAGGCAACAUGGCACCGUAACUUCGGGAGAAGGUGCACCCUUUUUGGUGGCUCGUGCGAGCUAUAGCUGAAGAGGGUCGCAGUAACCAGGCCGCUGCGACUGUUUAUCAAAAACACAGCACUCUGCAAACACGAAAGUGGACGUAUAGGGUGUGACGCCUGCCCGGUGCUGGAAGGUUAAUUGAUGGGGUCAGCCGCAAGGCGAAGCUCUUGAUCGAAGCCCCAGUAAACGGCGGCCGUAACUAUAACGGUCCUAAGGUAGCGAAAUUCCUUGUCGGGUAAGUUCCGACCUGCACGAAUGGCGUAACGACAGCGGCGCUGUCUCCACCCGAGACUCAGUGAAAUUGAAAUCGCUGUGAAGAUGCAGCGUUCCCGUGGCAAGACGGAAAGACCCCGUGAACCUUUACUAUAGCUUUACACUGAACGUUGAGUUCGUCUGUGUAGGAUAGGUGGGAGGCUAUGAAACCAUGGCGCUAGCUGUGGUGGAGCCAUCCUUGAAAUACCACCCUGUCGUGCUUGACGUUCUAACCUGGGCCCAUUAUCUGGGUCGGGGACCGUGUAUGGUGGGUAGUUUGACUGGGGCGGUCUCCUCCUAAAGAGUAACGGAGGAGCUCGAAGGUACGCUCAGCGCGGUCGGACAUCGCGCACUGUGUGCAAAGGCAUAAGCGUGCUUGACUGCAAGAUCGACGGAUCAAGCAGGUAGGAAACUAGGACUUAGUGAUCCGGUGGUUCUGUAUGGAAGGGCCAUCGCUCAACGGAUAAAAGGUACUCCGGGGAUAACAGGCUGAUACCGCCCAAGAGUUCAUAUCGACGGCGGUGUUUGGCACCUCGAUGUCGGCUCAUCACAUCCUGGGGCUGUAGUCGGUCCCAAGGGUAUGGCUGUUCGCCAUUUAAAGUGGUACGCGAGCUGGGUUCAGAACGUCGUGAGACAGUUCGGUCCCUAUCUGCCAUGGGCGUUGGAGAUUUGAGAGGGGCUGCUCCUAGUACGAGAGGACCGGAGUGGACGAACCUCUGGUGUUCCGGUUGUCACGCCAGUGGCAUUGCCGGGUAGCUAUGUUCGGAAGCGAUAACCGCUGAAAGCAUCUAAGCGGGAAGCGCGCCUCAAGAUGAGAUCUCCCGGGGCACAAGCCCCCUGAAGGAACCAUGUAGACUACGUGGUUGAUAGGUCAGGUGUGUAAGUACAGCAAUGUAUUGAGCUAACUGAUACUAAUGAUCCGAGAGGCUUGACCAUAUAACCU